GAUGAACGCUGGCGGCGUGCCUAAUACAUGCAAGUCGAGCGAACGGACGAGAAGCUUGCUUCUCUGAUGUUAGCGGCGGACGGGUGAGUAACACGUGGAUAACCUACCUAUAAGACUGGGAUAACUUCGGGAAACCGGAGCUAAUACCGGAUGAUAUUUUGAACCGCAUGGUUCAAAAGUGAAAGACGGUCUUGCUGUCACUUAUAGAUGGAUCCGCGCUGCAUUAGCUAGUUGGUAAGGUAACGGCUUACCAAGGCAACGAUGCAUAGCCGACCUGAGAGGGUGAUCGGCCACACUGGAACUGAGACACGGUCCAGACUCCUAAGGGAGGCAGCAGUAGGGAAUCUUACGCAAUGGGCGAAAGCCUGACGGAGCAACGCCGCGUGAGUGAUGAAGGUCUUCGGAUCGUAAAACUCUGUUAUUAGGGAAGAACAUAUGUGUAAGUAACUGUGCACAUCUUGACGGUACCUAAUCAGAAAGCCACGGCUAACUACGUG
rnacentral:rRNA from 1 species